AUGCACGCUGGCGGCGUGCCUCAUACCUGCAAGUCGCGCGAACAGACGAGGAGCUUGCUCCUCUGACGUUAGCGGCGGCCGGGUGAGUAACACGUGGAUAACCUACCUAUAAGACUGGGAUAACUUCGGGAAACCGGAGCUAAUACCGGAUAAUAUAUUGAACCGCAUGGUUCAAUAGUGAAAGACGGUUUUGCUGUCACUUAUAGAUGGAUCCGCGCCGCAUUAGCUAGUUGGUAAGGUAACGGCUUACCAAGGCGACGAUGCGUAGCCGACCUGAGAGGGUGAUCGGCCACACUGGAACUGAGACACGGUCCAGACUCCUACGGGAGGCAGCAGUAGGGAAUCUUCCGCAAUGGGCGAAAGCCUGACGGAGCAACGCCGCGUGAGUGAUGAAGGUCUUCGGAUCGUAAAACUCUGUUAUUAGGGAAGAACAAAUGUGUAAGUAACUAUGCACGUCUUGACGGUACCUAAUCAGAAAGCCACGGCUAACUACGUG
rnacentral:rRNA from 1 species